CACUUGUAUGUAUAUACUAUAAAAAUUUCCUAAAUAUAUCCUCAUUUAGAUUGAAUAAUUCCAUAAAGACAUGUAAGCAUCAUCAGCUUCUACAUAAUCUCCGAUUUCUAAACAUUGAGGUAGAGGUAGCAUGAGUCCUUCCGCCAUAUUCGCAAUUAAUCCUGGCAUGUAGAAGAGCGCUUCCUCAUCCAUGAAGAAACUAUUCACUUGCGCUUCCUCAUUCAUAGAGAGGGCCUUUUCUGGCGUUUCAGGAGUAGUAGUAUUGCUACAUUCUCCUGAAACUUCUUCCGACUCUUCUAAUGAUGAUGGUCGGAAGAUUUCGGCGGCCUCAGCGGCCGCCUUUUGAAUAUCCUUAGAGUUGGAGGAAGCAGGGAUAGGCAACCUCCAAACAGAGUCAGCAAAGUUCAAGCAAGCAGAACGGCCCCUUAAUGCUAAAGCCGCCACGUCAUGAGCUCUAGCCGCCAUUUCAGCAGUAGGGAAUGUGCCGAGCCAAAUUCUAGAUUUCUUAUUUGGUUCUCUAACUUCACAAACCCAUUUUCCGGAAUUCCUCAUCCUGAUUCCCCUGAAUACGGGAUGUCGAGUUUCUCGAAACUUCUUCCUGCCAGCUGGCUUUUUCGGGUUAUUUGAAGCUAAAUUAAUAACUUCCUCAUCAGAAAAAUUAUUAUUAGGGGAGUAGUGAUUGCUAUUAUCAGAUAGUAUUGAUGAUGACGAUGAUGAUAAUUGAGUGAGUGGCUCCGAAUAAUAGCUUGGAAACAUAUCUAUAGUAAUAUUGUUGAAAACUGACUUAAUUAUUUGAUGAGAGAGUAAAGAUAAUGAAGUAGUGUUUGGAUAUUUUGUAUAUAUAGAUAUGAUGAUAAGGUAAGUGAAGUAUUGAAGCUAACACGGAGUUGGAGGGAGAUAAGUAAACAGCUGUUUCAACUCUUAAGUGUGUAUAAGUCGUGUAGCCUUUAUGCGGAUGUGGCAACUUUCUACUUUUUGUCUCUCCCUCUUCCUUCUUUCCUUUUUGGACUACCACUAGAAUACUUGGUCUAGUUGAGCUACUAAUAAACAAAUACAUUUGUUAAAGGUCAGCAUCAUUGUAUAUUGACUUGAACUAAUCUUUUCACUUCUUAGUAAUUUAGGAGUGUGUAUCGGUCGGUUCGGUUAUAAGUAUUAUCGGUUCGGUUUAUCGGUUUUCGGUUUUUAAAUAUGCUAAACCGAUAACCAAACCAAUAAGAUAUUUGUUAUCGGUUUUUGGUUUAUCGGUUUUAGGUCUUUAACGGUUUGGUUUUCGGUUUAACCAAUAAGAAAAUGCUUUCAAAACAAAUAUAUGACUUAUCCAAUAAUUUGACGCGAUACGCAUACAUCGAAAUAAUCAUUCCAAACAGGACAACAAGGACCAACUUGUUGUAUUUUGAUCAUCACAACAAAGACUUGGUUAAUUUUCGAUCACCAUAAUAUAUAAAACAAGGUCCCCUUUAUGCAAUAAAGAGAAUCAAAUAAAACCAAAUCAUAGACAAAAGUCAAAACAGUAGCAAAUGAGGCCAUGCUUAUGGUAACUAAAUGAAGUUCUUACAUUAUUUUAAAAAAAAAACACACAAUUUGAAUUCCUGACAUUAAUCAAAUUGCAGAUAUUUACAAUCGUGCAAAAGUUAAUAGUAGUCAAUUAUAAACUAACUAAAGUAAAUAAGUAAUACUAAAAAGUAAAACCUAAAGGUUAAAUAACUAAAAGUAGAGAGGAGAGUUAAUUGUUAAGUAGUGUUAAUUAUUGCGUAGAGUUUUAUAUUUUUAGUCUAAUAUACUACUAAUUAUAUUAAUAUAUUUUUUAAUAUAUUAUAUAUAUGUAUAACUAAAAAUUAAAAUAGUAAAUUAUUAUAUUCAACCAAUAACACUUUUUUCGGUUCGGUUUAUCGGUCAGUUCGAUUUUUGCACACCCUUACUUAGUAUUAGUUAGUUACGAUAACACAAGUAAAGUGGAUCCCACAAUUUCUAAAAAAUUAGAUAUUAAUUAAAUUAAAGUAGAAUAAUUUUUUUUAUUUUUCCCGAAAAUAGUCUAGGCACAUCAGCGAAGACGUGCCUAUUUUAGCCAAACUCCCUCUUAUAUAAUAAUAAUAAUAAUAAUAAUAAUAAUAAUAAUAAUAAUAAGAUAAGAGAAAGAGAAUACUUGAGAUAGAAUGGGGAAAUUAACUACCAAUCUGUUUGGGGUAAAUUUGUGCAAAAUUUAAAAAUUAAAUUAUAAAUUAGUGUUUAGAUAUGUGAUUAAGGAUAUAAUUUGAAAUCGAGAUUUCAAAUUCCAAAUUCUCCAUUUCAAAAAAUAAAUAAAUGAAAAACUUGAUCCAUUAAUUUAAAUUAUAUAUAUAUAUAUAUAUAUAAAUAAAGGAGGACCAAUAAUCAUUCUAUGUUCAACGUUUGAGUGAGUAAUUAUUUUGAAAUAAAUCUUUUGAACUACAAUGAGGGCUAAAAAUUAAAAUAGAAGGGAAGAAAAAUUAAAAUGGCCUUUCAAAUAUAUGAAAUUCAUUCGACUCUAAACAUACGGUUUUGACAGUUGUACAUUAACUCCAACUGACCUUUGCAAGAAAUGAAAGAAAGCAUUUCGCGCCGCCACUUGUCCACGAAAACGUGUGAUCCACCACGUGGCACCAUUUACAGGUCUCCACCAUCUUAUUUUAAUGUUUCCUCAUAGAUUUUCUUCUACUACUGGACUAGCUCCUUAAAGGGGAUAUUUAUUUUAUUUUAUUUUUGGAAUGUUUCCUAUAUUUCACUCUAUAUAUUACAUUAAUUAAUACUGUCUUGUUGAAUAAGAAAUUAUUUCUAACAUUACAAUUUUAAAGUGUUUAUAAACAUGAAAAAGUUAUAACUUAUUUAUUUUGCAAUUCAUAAUAUUGAAAUUCUUUAAUGAUGAGACAAAUAAAUUUGGAAUUGAAACUGUAACUUUAAUUUGAAUAUGGUUGACUCAUACUGGGCACCCCUUCAUUAAUUUUGAAUGAAGGAAUUAUAUACUCCCUCCGUUUAAAAAGAAUGAAUUCCUUUCUUUUUUAGUCUAUUUCAAGAAGAAUGAUCUCUUUCUUUUUUUGGUUACAUUUUAAUUUCAGUUUUUCAUGUGACAUGUUUAAGGUCACAAGAUUAAAAAACAAUUUUGUACAUUUGAUAUAACUUUAAUUUAGGAUCACAAAAUUCAAAAGUCUUCUUUAUUUUCUUAAAUUUCGUGUCAAGUCAAACUAUGUCAUUUUUUGUGAAACGGAGGGAGUAGUUAGUUCUCUAGUUUUCAAGUAAACAUUUUUUUCAAUAUGAGAUAAUUUUGCUUAGAUUGGAUUCAUAAAUUACUACUCCCUCUGUCCCAAUUUAUAUGACUCACUUUCCUUUUUAGUCAGUCCAAAAAGAAUGACACAUUUCCUUAUUUGGUAAAUAUUUAAUGACAUUAUCCCUAUUUUACCCUUCUUGAAUCUCAUUAUUUCAAUAGUUGUACUCUUUUAAUUUAAAGAAAAAGUUAUUAAAAUGUAAUAAAGUACACCUAUUUUUCUCCUUUUACUGAUAGUCAACCGUACUUUAACCCUUUUUUCAAUACUUUGUCAUAACCUAUUCUUUCUUUUCACCACUUUAUCAUAUUCUUUCUUUUCACCACUUUAUCAUAUUCUUUCUUUUACACUAUUGAUAGAAUUGUGAAAUACUCCAUGUGAAUGUAAUUUUAUUUUUAAAAGUUAAAGAAUGUACGAUCAAAAGUUGUCCCAACUUUAAAAUUUUUUUGAUGAAUGUUUCUUCAUUUUCUGUAGUUAAGAUUUACAAUAAAAAUAAAAUGAAAAUUUUCAAAUAUAAACUUCAAGAAGUAAAAUUUUCUUACAUUUACCAAAAUGAAAAUUUUACUUCAACAUGUUGAAUUUACAAUGUCCCAACAAAACUUUAAACUAUUCCAAAAGUAAAUUACACUUUGCAAGAUUUUAACAUAAACAUUAAACUAUCCAAAAAUUAAAUUAAAUUUGCGAAGUUCUAAUAUAAACAUCAAAAUGUUCAAAAACACAAGUUGUUUUAAUACUUGUAAUCUCAUCACUGUUGAAGUAGAGUUAAAGCUUGAUUAACAACAUCAACAUCACAACGAACUUGAAGUGGAGAUCAUUUUCUCUUUUGAGUCUUUCUUUGUUCAUAUGAGGCACUUUGUAGUUAUUGCCACCACUAUCUUUCAUCACCUCAUUCAUACAACAUUGCAAAGUCAAAAAUACAUGAUUGAGUCGUUCUAUUUUCAUUUCAUUGAAUGAUUUUUCAACAACCUCCACUAAUUCAUCAACAUUUGAAGGAGCAUUUUGAUAUUGAAGAGAUUGAAUUGCUCUAAAAUAUCCAAGGUCCAAAACGUUAAGAUCAGGACUAUUAGGGGGUUGAAAGCAUAACUUAAUAUCAAAUCCAUCUCGUUGAGCGGCUUCCAUGAAUUCCAAAUCAUUAACACUAAUAUGUGGUCUUGCAUUAUCUUGUUGGAUGAAAAUGGGUGCACUUGACGUUGAAGCUGGCCAUUUUGAUCGAAUGGCUGGAAGAACUUUCUCUAUCAAACAAGCUCUUGUGAUAUCUUUAGUCACCGAUAAAAUUGGUUUUGUUUCAAUAGUUCCUGUUGUUUGAUUUUUGCUAUUCCGUUUGGCUGGUUCCUUAACUACAAACGGAAAAAUUCCUAUUUUUUCCGAAAAUAACUCAACUCCAUUAACGUCAAAUCUAGGACGUGCAACAGCUGCCAUAAACAUAAACUUUUUGUGAUAAAAGUUUUACUUUUGCAAGAACGAUACGGAUUAGACUCUUCUUCUUCGGGAAGAAGGUAAUACCUUUCAGAUUUUUUCGAUAAGUAAAACCAUUUUUCAUCGAUAUGGAUAUAAUUAAACAUGUCUAUAAACAUGGGAUUUGAGUGAAGUGUACUCUGAUCAAUCAUUGAGAGGCAAAAUCGAAGUCUCGCCUUUUUGUUUUCUUCGGUUAAAUGAGGUUUGAUGGCGUUGGUAUGUGGCCUAAUUGCACCUUCUUUCACAAGUCAAAAAACUGUUGAUUUUGCCAUAUUUAUUGCAAAAGAAAGAGAUCGAAUAUUUGUUCGACGACAUAGUGGAAUUUCUUUGAAUUGGUUGAUAUCGACUUGUAUGCGUUUUCUCCCAACUCUGCCUGCAAGAUUAGUAGAAACAUUUAACAUGUCACCAUUAGCAACACAUAAUCUAGCUUGUCUCCAAAUACGAUCAAUGGUACUUCUUGAUGUGUUGAACAAAAUACUUGCUUCCUUUACAGAACCAUGUUUAAGUUUUCCAUUCUUACUUUCUUUCAAAAGCCACUCCGCAAUUGCUCGACGGUUGUUCAGAUUCAAUCGCCUUUUUGUGGUAAUUGGGUCUUCUGAAAAUUCAACACUCAUUUUAAGAUCACUGAUUGGAAAAACUGUAAAAGGAAGAAUUGAAAAAUUAAAGAUGAAGUAUCUCUACUUAUAUGGAGUCCAUUAGCUAAUAUUUUAAAAUUUGGCAAAAAAAUUGGCGCUAGAAACUGAAAAUUUUAAUCUUUUCCCACAUUUUUUUUUUAUGUUAUCAAUUUUUUGAAACUAUAAUUAAAAUCAUGAAAAAAAAGUACUUUUACCUGCAAUGGCAAAAACUUAAUCAUUUUAGAGUCUUUCUUCUUCAUUGAAAAAUUAAGGGAGAGAUAAUGGAGAAUGGAGAGUGGAGAAGAAAGAAGAGAGAGAAAAAUAUAUUGGACUCUUUUGGAUUUGUAUUAAUGUCUGAUGUGACAUUAACUUAUGAGAGAGAGAAAAGUCAUAAACUUUUCUAUUCAAAGUCAGAUAUAGUUUUUUAUUUUAUUUAACAAUUUAGAUUUAUUAAUAAGGGUAUUUUCGGAACAUUGUAGGGUCUUUUCAUUUUUCUUAAAGUUUGUGCCAAAUCAAAAUACAUCAUAUAAAAUGGGACGGAGGGAGUAACAUUUAGAUACUCAGUAAUUACGAAAAAUAAGUUAGAAAUUGUAAUUCUUUAAUAUCAGAAUGGCAAAAAAAUACUGAACAUUGUGAUAUCACUUCACACUUCGUUUAUUCAAAUAUGACGGCUUGAAAUUUGCUAUGCUAAUCUUUUCCUCUCACUGCCCAAACCAAGUCAUCACAUUAACACGUGUCAUUAUUUAGUGGCGCUACUAUCUACAUUGUUUAGUACUAAAAUCAAAAUACUAAUGUACAUUCGUACCAUCCAAAUACUGAGUACGAAAAUUACCAAAAUCUUCUAGUAAAUCCUAGUAAUUUAAGAAAUUGUACUAUUUAGAUAGAAUAAUUCCAUAAAGUCAUGUAAGCAUCAGCUUCCACAUAAUGAUCUCCCAUUUCUGCACAUUGAGGUGGAGGUAGCAUUAGUCCUUCCGCCAUAUUUGCAAUUAAUCCUGGCAUGAAAAAGAGCGCUUCCUCAUCCAUGAAGAAACUACUCUCUGGCGCUUCUUCGUUCAUAAAAAACGCAUUUUCUGGCGUUUCAGGAGUACUGUUGUCUGAUUCUCCUG
rnacentral:lncRNA from 1 species